rnacentral:sRNA from 1 species
AGUUGAUUGGGAAACUCAUCAAUUGAUAUGAAAUGCCGAGACAAGCUUUCUUCUCCAAUGGCGGGCCACGCCUUUAGGUAUGCUUUUAGCACGGUGGAUUACAAAGGAGGGGGGCACUCAAAUCCUGUUAUUCGGAGUUUCAUCACAUCCUUCGGUGCGACUUUUUU